rnacentral:rRNA from 1 species
CCUACGGGAGGCAGCAGUGGGGAAUCUUGCGCAAUGGGCGAAAGCCUGACGCAGCCAUGCCGCGUGAAUGAUGAAGGUCUUGGGAUUGUAAAAUUCUUUCACCGGGGACGAUAAUGACGGUACCCGGAGAAGAAGCCCCGGCUAACUUCGUGCCAGCAGCCGCGGUAAUACGAAGGGGGCUAGCGUUGCUCGGAAUUACUGGGCGUAAAGGGAGCGUAGGCGGACAUUUAAGUCAGGGGUGAAAUCCCGGGGCUCAACCUCGGAAUUGCCUUUGAUACUGGGUGUCUUGAGUAUGAGAGAGGUGUGUGGAACUCCGAGUGUAGAGGUGAAAUUCGUAGAUAUUCGGAAGAACACCAGUGGCGAAGGCGGCACACUGGCUCAUUACUGACGCUGAGGCUCGAAAGCGUGGGGGGCAAACAGGAUUAGAUACCCUGGUAGUCCACGCCGUAAACGAUGAUUGCUAGUUGUCGGGAUGCAUGCAUUUCGGUGACGCAGCUAACGCAUUAAGCAAUCCGCCUGGGGAGUACGGUCGCAAGNUUAAAACUCAAAGGAAUUGACGG